ACUAAACUGACAAUUUAUUUGCUUGAGUAGUAAUCAGCUAUGUUCUUGAAACUUAGAGGAUUUGGCGGUAUUCAAGUCUAGUUAGAGGAACCUGCUCUUUAAACGAUAUGCCACGAAUUAUCUUACUUAUUCUAGCUUUCAGUAUGUAUACCGCCAUUAUUAAGAAGUGUUUAAAAAUAUUUUUUGUAAUAACAAUUUAUUAAUAUAUUAGGUCAAGGUGCAGCCGAUGGGUAAGUAGAUGUGGGUUACAUUGUGUUGUAUAUUCGGAUUAAUUCUUGAAAAGGAUUUUUAAGUUGGAUUUAAUAGUAUGCUUAUUUUAAUAAGUUAAGUUGAUAGAAGCUCUAGAAUAUGU
rnacentral:rRNA from 1 species